rnacentral:tRNA from 1 species
UGGGGGAUCGUUCAGUGGCAGGACGACGGGUUCUGGCCCCGUUAACCAAGGUUCGAAUCCUUGUCCCCCAGCCA